GCCACUUUAGCUCAGAGGCAGAGCGCUGCUCUCGUAAAGCAGCGGUCAGAGGUUCGAUUCCUCUAAGUGGCA